CACGCCGUAAACGAUGAAUGCUAGCCGUUGGGGGGUUUACUCCUCUGUGGCGCAGCUAACGCUUUAAGCAUUCCGCCUGGGGAGUACGGUCGCAAGAUUAAAACUCAAAGGAAUUGACGG
rnacentral:rRNA from 1 species